AGGAUGAACGCUGGCGGCGUGCUUAACACAUGCAAGUCGAACGAUGAUCCCCAGCUUGCUGGGGUGAUUAGUGGCGAACGGGUGAGUAACACGUGAGUAACCUGCCCUUGACUCUGGGAUAAGCCUGGGAAACUGGGUCUAAUACUGGAUAUGCACCGUGAACCGCAUGGUUUUUGGUGGAAAGAUUUAUUGGUCAAGGAUGGACUCGCGGCCUAUCAGCUUGUUGGUGAGGUAAUGGCUCACCAAGGCGACGACGGGUAGCCGGCCUGAGAGGGUGACCGGCCACACUGGGACUGAGACACGGCCCAGACUCCUACGGGAGGCAGCAGUGGGGAAUAUUGCACAAUGGGCGAAAGCCUGAUGCAGCGACGCCGCGUGAGGGAUGACGGCCUUCGGGUUGUAAACCUCUUUCAGUAGGGAAGAAGCGAAAGUGACGGUACCUGCAGAAGAAGCGCCGGCUAACUACGUGCCAGC
rnacentral:rRNA from 1 species